rnacentral:rRNA from 1 species
CCUACGGGAGGCAGCAGUGAGGAAUAUUGGUCAAUGGACGAGAGUCUGAACCAGCCAAGUAGCGUGAAGGAUGACUGCCCUAUGGGUUGUAAACUUCUUUUAUAAAGGAAUAAAACGAGGCACGUGUGCCUUUUUGCAUGUACUUUAUGAUUAAGGAUCGGCUAACUCCGUGCCAGCAGCCGCGGUAAUACGGAGGAUCCGAGCGUUAUCCGGAUUUAUUGGGUUUAAAGGGAGCGUAGAUGGGUUGUUAAGUCAGUUGUGAAAGUUUGCGGCUCAACCGUAAAAUUGCAAUUGAUACUGGCAGUCGUGAGUACAGUUGAGGUAGGCGGAAUUCGUGGUGUAGCGGUGAAAUGCUUAGAUAUCACGAAGAACCCCGAUUGCGAAGGCAGCUUACUAAACUGUGACUGACAUUGAUGCUCGAAAGUGUGGGUAUCAAACAGGAUUAGAUACCCUUGUAGUC